rnacentral:lncRNA from 1 species
GGGGGUACCGGUACAGAGUCAAUGUGGAGACUAUAUACAGGGGGUACCGGUACAGAGUCAAUGUGGAGGCUAUAUACAGGGGGUACCAGUACAGAGUCAAUGUGGAGGCUAUAUACAGGGGGUACCAGUACAGAGUCAAUGUGGAGGCUAUAUACAGGGGGUACCGGUACAGAGUCAAUGUGGAGGCUAUAUACAGGGGGGUACCAGUACAGAGUCAAUGUGGAGGCUAUAUACAGGGGGUACCAGUACAGAGUCAAUGUGGAGGCUAUAUACAGGGGGGUACCAGUACAGAGUCAAUGUGGAGGCUAUAUACAGGGGGUACCGGUACAGAGUCAAUGUGGAGGCUAUAUACAGGGGGUACCAGUACAGAGUCAAUGUGGAGGCUAUAUACAGGGGGGUACCAGUACAGAGUCAAUGUGGAGGCUAUAUACAGGGGGGUACCAGUACAGAGUCAAUGUGGAGGCUAUAUACAGGGGGUACCAGUACAGAGUCAAUGUGGAGGCUAUAUACAGGGGGUACCAGUACAGAGUCAAUGUGGAGGCUAUAUACAGGGGGUACCAGUACAGAGUCAAUGUGGAGGCUAUAUACAGG